CUAACCCACCUCCUCCCCGGCGCUCAUUGGUCAGGAGCCCGCCUGCCCCGCCCCAGGGGUCCGCCCUGGUUCCUUGAGCGGCGCGGGCCCGCGGAGCGCGCAGUGUGGGCGUGGCGGGGCUGAGGUUACUCGGGGCGGUGGUCCGCUGACCCGGGCUACUGGGAAGUGCCGCGGACUUGCCUCCCUUCUCCAUCCUGUCUCUGAAGAACGUUUCGGGACAGGCUGUAGCCUACCCUCACCCGAGCUUUUGAGGCCAAAAGCCCGCCCCAGGCCGCGCUUCAAAAGCCUGACACUUUGGCCCCGAGACCCGGCUCAAACGUGACGCCCGCGGCCGGAGGUGUCCGGAGGCCCUCGGGCCGUGUCCAUCCCUCGGCACGGCAGGCCGAUCAGGCUCCGCAGCAGCGCUGCCCUGCAUCCCUCCUGGGCCCUGACGAUCUGCCGCCCCCGGAACCCAGGCUCACGAUUUGAGUUUCUGGCCGGCGGAGGCGCUCCGCAGCGCGAUCUCACGGAAGUCGGCUCGGAAGACCUUGACCCGCCGGGACAGGAGAUGGCGCCGCCGGCGGGCGGGGCGGUGGCCGCAGACCCGGGCUCAGCCGCAGUGCUCCUGGCUGUGCACGCCGCGGUGAGACCGCUGGGCGCCGGGCCCAACGCAGAGGCGCAGCUGCGGAGGCUGCAGCUGAGCGCGGAUCCCGAAAGACCCGGGCGUUUCCGACUGGAGCUGCGAGGCGCGGGGCCCGGAGCGGUGAGUGCGGACCGGGGCUGGAGCCCAAGACCGGGCGCCUCCGCUAGCCCACAGCGUGCCCUUAAGCCGUUACUUUUCUUUGGUUGCCUUCUGGUCUGUAAAAUGGGGAUGGUGCUGGUUCCUACCUUACAAACUGUUGUGAGGAUUUGGUAAGAUAAUAGGUGGAAAGGGUUUAGGACCGCGUAAGUGAUCUAGUGAUCUACAAAUGUUUUCUUGUCUUUCUUUGAUUAGCAUGUGGUUCAAAGUGGGAAACCACUGAUCCUGGACUCUCCUACUCCACAGGUCAGUCUGGAGUGGCCCUUGGAGUCAAUCUCCUAUACCAUCCGCGGCCCCAGUCAACAUGAGUUGCAGCCUCCACCAGGAGGGCCCGGAACUCUCAGUCUGCGCUUCCUCAACACUCAGGAAGCUCAGCAGUGGGCAGCCUUGCUGCGAGGUGCCACCGCAGAGGGACAGAAUGGUCAGUGCCCUGGAAUUAAGUAUGGAGUAGCUCUGUCCCCCCAGGACUGGGUGGGGACAGUGAUGGGAAAAGCUAGGGGCCUCGAAAGGCGCUCAGGAGGAAGAAAGUGAAAGAAAGAAAAGGCUGAAGAGCUGGAGCCUGGAUAGACUAGGGUGGAAAGAAGAGCAAGUAGGACUGCAGGACCCUAGUGAGUUCAAGAGCAAUAGUGGUACUUAGCAGAGUGACAGGCUCAGAUUGAGACUUCUGCAGUAGGACGGGUUUGUGCAAAGGGCAGGAGAGGAUGAUUCCAGAGAGUUUUAGGAGAUGGAAUUAGCUAAGUUUCAUGGUCAUUUAAAUAAAACAGUUCAAGACUGAAACCUGGGGGCUGGGGCUAUAGCUCAGAGGCAGAGUGCUUGCCUAGCGUGUGUGAGACACUGGGUUGGGUCCUUAGCACCACAUAAAAAUGAAACAAAUAGGGUCUGGGGUUGUGGCUCAGAGGUAGACACUUGUCUGGCAUGCGUGAGGCACUGGAUUCCAUCCUCAGCACCACAUAAAGUAAAAUAAAGACAUUGUGUCCACCUACAUGUAAAGAUUAAGUUAAAAAAUAAAGAAACAAAGGCAUGCUGUCCAUGUACAACUAAAAGAAAAAAAAAAAAAAAAAAAAGCUGAAACCAGGGGCCAGGUAGUGCAGGGCUCCUAGACAGGGCCUGUUUAAGAGGGCAUGGAUGUUCUGGGUUCUUUCUUCUUAUUAUUAUUUUUUAGUUGUAGAUGGACACAAUAUAUUUAUUUAUUUAUUUUUAUGCGUUGCUGAGGAUAAAACCCAGGAUCUCACACUUGCAGGGCAAGUGUUCUACCACUUAGCUACAGCCCCAGCCCGGAUGUUCUGGGUUCUUAAAACAUCUUGGCUGAAGCUGGGGCUCUAGAUAGGUCAACCAAGUCACUAAUAAAGAACCUUAAAGAGAAGAGGGCUGGCAUGCAGAGAUUGCCUUAGGGAAAGAAAAGAGAAGCCACAAAUAGUAUAGAGGAAGACAACCAGACAGUGUUAUUCAUAAGAGGCCCUGGCAAGUCAGCUUUGGAAAAGGGAGACAGCACUUUUCAUUCAUUAGUAUGUGUACCCAGUGCCUGCUCUGUACUGGGCACUUAUUUAACAUGAAUAAACCUCCACCCUCUUGGAGGCUGCAUUUCUACAUGGGAGACAUGUGAAGUAAGAAAAUUCUUAUUAGACAUGGAGAGAGUCGGUGCUGGAGCUAGGAGGGAGGGAACAUUAUUUAAAGUAGGGUGACAGGACCAGGUGCAGAAUAAUCCCAGUGAUGUGGGAGGCUGAUAAAGGAGGAUGACAAGUUCAAGGCCAGCCUAAGCAGUAUUUCAUUUAUUUUGAAAUAGUGGGACCCUAUUUCAAAAUAAAUGAAAGGACUGGAGUAAAUAGAGGUGGCAAGGAAGGCCCCUUGAAAGGGUGACACUUGAGUAGAAUUUGAAGAUCAGUCAGUAUCUAAGAAGUGGGUUGGACUGUGUUCAUUAAUUAGUCAAUUAAUCAACAUUAAUUUAUACAGUUACUAUAUACCCAGCUCUAGAGAUUGUAGUUAUUUGUAUGAUCAUCUAUUUAAUACUAUCUCUUUCUUUACAAUAUAUGUUCUAUACAGAAAUGCCUGAGAAUAUCUUGUCCACCUCUGAAUUCCCAGUACCUCAUAUAUAUUAUUAGAUGCACAAUAAACAUUUUUUGAAUGGAAAAAAAAAAAAAAGUAUUUGAAGGUCCUAGCAUGAGCCUUGUGGUCUUAGGAGCAGCAAAUACAAAAGCCCUGAGGGGAACAUAUGCAAGCAACCCUCAAGACACAGGCACAGGGCUGGGUGCUUGGAGGACUCUACUUAUUUUAGUGGGAUAAACAGUUCAAGAAGUCAAGGGCCUGAGGCCAUCAAAGAAGCUGUGUCAGCACUGGCUGAGACCCCCCCCCCCACUCAUUGCAGGGAGCUAUCCUCAAGUGGGAGGUAAGAAGGGAGAGAGCAGUUAUGUCCAACUGUGUAUCUUUACCGUCAUCCUUGAAAGGACAGUGUGUUCUGUGCAUAAGGGCUAGCCAGGAGAAGGGAGAUCAGUGAGGGCAAUCACCUUGUAGUAGACUACAAGGCUACUGUUGGGCAGGAGGGGGAAGGCCCCUCUGUCUGAGGACCUGCUGUGGUUCUGCUGUGUGGAGGAAGGGCACCAGCAGGACAGGCAACAGAAGAGUUCAGAAAGACUCCAGGUCCCCAACAGGAAUCCAGGGCAGUUCCAACAAGUCAGGUGGUGUGUGGGGGGGGGGAGUGCAGGGACCUCUCAGGGGUUUUUAAGGGCAAGCUAGGAGGGGGAGGGUUAUUUUGAAGUGUAAGCUGAGGUAGGGCCUGACAUGGGCUGUGAUGAGGAAAAAGACAAAGGUCCUAGAAACCCCAGGGCAGAGAGGCUUGGGCAGGGGCCAACAACCACUCCACAUUUUCCCUCCUAGGCAGUGGCAGCCCACUCCUAGCCCUGGGCCCAGAAACAUGUCCUGUUUCCUCACCCAGUCCCCCUGUGGUCCCAACACUCAAAGUGCCCCAACCUGAGGUGGAUCUUCAGAGCCCUGGAGACUUGAUGGAGAAAGGUAAGGACAGAUAGCCAGAGGGGUCUGAAGGAAGUGGCUGGUGUGAUUUUGACAGCUGUCCUCCCUUUAGAAGAGCUGACUGGGCUCCUGGCCCAGGCCAUUGCAGGUGGGGACGAGAAGGGAGCAGCCCAAAUAGCAGCAAUCCUGGCCCAGCGUCACGUGGCCCUCAGUGUCCAGCUUCAGGAGGCCUGCUUCCCGCCUGGUCCCAUCAGGUGAGGCCUGAUCCUCAUCUUGCCCUGCUGAUCUUCUCAGGUUCCCCAAACAACCUCUGACCCACAUUCUGACCCAGGCUGCAGGUCACAGUUGAAGAUGCCACAUCCGCUGCAUCCUCGGCAUCCUCUGCCCACAUCUCACUGCAGGUCCACGCUCACUGUACCAUCUCAGCUCUCCAGGAACAGGUGAGCAUGGGGUCCAGAGAGCCCUGUAGUGGUGGUGGGUAAUCCCGGGUGACACUCCCCAGCCCUGAUGCUCUGACCCUAGGUGUUCUCAGAGUUCGGUUUCCCACCUGCUGUGCAACGCUGGGUCAUUGGGAGGUGGCUGUGUGCCCCUGAGUGCAGCCUUGCUUCCUAUGGGGUCCAGCAAGAUGGGGACCCUGCUUUCCUCUAUCUGCUCUCCACUCCCCAAGAAGCCCCAGGUUGGUCCUUGAUGGGGGUAGGUGAGGGAGGUGGGGUGCAGCCCAAGAUAGUCCUAAGCCCCUGUCCUCUGCCACAGGAUGCAGCCCUCAACGCUUGCAGAAGAUGGAAGGGGAACUAGGACGGUUCUUUCCUCAGUCAUUGGGGCUGUCCCGUGCCCUGCAGCCAGCCAGUUCCAGCCUCCCCGGCCCCCUUCAGGUGGGCAAUGGGCAUGAGUGGGCAGUGGGCAGGGGUUGGCUAGGCACACUAGAAGUGAAGAAACAGCAACGGUCUUCCACCUCUCUAGCCUGGCUGGUCCUGUCCUUCCUGUACCUUCAUCAAUGCCCCAAAUCGCCCUGGCUGUGAGAUGUGUAGCACCCAGAGGCCCUGCACCUGGGACCCCCUUCCUACAUCGUCUACCCAGUAGCCACCAAAGGUACAGGUGGUGGGGUGGCUGGAGGAGGGGGGUGCACACAGUAUAGAACAAGCAGGAAUGAUCUGUCUCUUCCCCCCUGGUUACAGAACAUGGCCCUUCCCUGGAAGGCCUAAAUGCCUGGACUAUCACCUGAUCUCAGGAGACCUCUGCUGGCUGCUCAUUGGGGACAGACAAGAGGGUUGCAGGGAAGAGCUAUAAGUUAGACACAAAAGGGGCUGGGGUUGUGGCUCAGCAGUAGAACGCUUACCUAGCAUGGAGGCCCUGGGUUUGAUCCUCAGCACAACAUAUAAAUAAAUAAAUAAAUAAAAUAAA
rnacentral:lncRNA from 1 species